GAUGAACGCUGGCGGUAUGCUUUACACAUGCAAGUCGAACGAAAGUUUUUUAAACUUUAGUGGCGGACGGGUGAGUAACACGUGAGAAUUUACCUUUAGGAGGGGAAUAACAAUUGGAAACAAUUGCUAAUGCCGCAUAUUAUUAAAACAAUAAAAGAAGAAAUUCGCCUAAAGAAAAGCUUGCGUCUGAUUAGCUAGUUGGUGGGGUAAAGGCCUACCAAGGCGACGAUCAGUAGCUGGUUUGAGAGGAUGACCAGUCACACUGGAACUGAGACACGGUCCAGACUCCUGCGGGAGGCAGCAGUGGGGAAUUUUCUGCAAUGGGCGAAAGCCUGACAGAGCAAUACCGCGUGAGGGAAUCAGAAAGCCCAAAGGGUUGUAAACCUCUUUUGUUAAGGAAGAAGUUCUGACGUUACUUAACGAAUAAGCAUCGGCUAACUCCGUGCCAGCCGCCGCGGUAAU
rnacentral:rRNA from 1 species